CAUGGCUCAGGAUGAACGCUGGCGGCGUGCUUAACACAUGCAAGUCGAACGGAGUUUAUACGGAAGGAGUCUUCGGGCAACGGAAGUAUAAACUUAGUGGCGGACGGGUGAGUAACGCGUGGGUAACCUGCCUUAUACAAGGGGAUAACAGAGGGAAACUUCUGCUAAUACCGUAUAAAAAUAUUUCACGCAUGUGAGAUAUUUGAAAGAUUUAUCAGUAUGAGAUGGACCCGCGUCUGAUUAGGUAGUUGGUGAGGUAGAGGCUCACCAAGCCGACGAUCGGUAGCCGAUCUGAGAGGAUGACCGGCCACAUUGGGACUGAGACACGGCCCAAACUCCUACGG
rnacentral:rRNA from 1 species